rnacentral:tRNA from 1 species
UAUAUGAUAGUAUAAUAAUUACAACUUGUUUACACCAAGUAAAUCGUAUGGCACGUCAUAUUU